GGGGAUGACAGCCAUGAGAAAUUUAGGAUCCCUAAGCAUGGCAUGCUAUAAAUACUGAUUAUUUUCAGUUAACGUUCUUGUUGUCAGGAUACAGCAUUUCCAUUUGCCACAGUCUUCUGGGCCAUUUCUGAAGCUGCCCCAAAUGAUGCCUCCAAGGGGCUGGCCAUCAUUACUCCAGGUCCCAGAUGGCGAGGCUGAGAGGUUAAGUGAGUUGCUUCAGGCCACACACUUCAUUUCAAGGCCUCAGGUGCCAAUAUGGGAUUAACUCUAUAAGGAAACUGAGGCACAAAGGAGAUGAAAUAACUUGAACAAGAUUCAAAAUCUACUUCAGCUGAAACCUGAACCUUGAUCCAAGUUCAGACGCUGGAUGAUGAAGUUGAAGAAAUUAAACUCUUCUACACGUUUUCUUCCUUUUCCAGUUGGUUUUGGUCCCUAUAGCAUGGUGAUGUCCAGCUAAGCAUGCCCCUUCCAAAUGUAUUCAAUGAUAUUUGCUUGUGAGAACCUCAGUCACAAACACUACUCUCAUUGUCCCAGCAUAAUGCAAAGUCACUGUGGCUCUGGGCAGCAGAGGCUGUGAGUUCCUUUUCAGCUUCAUUAACUAACCUUGAGGAGGCUGGGAUGGGGGAAACGCUAAAACCCAGUUCUCCCAGCCAGCAGCCAGCCUGGCCAGCGGACAGAGGUGGAAUGUGACCAAGGUAUGUCUUGGUUGAUGGUUCACCCCUGGAUGAGGUAGUCCCUGAAAGUUGAUCUUUGGGGAUUUCAAAUCUGUUGAUGAAAACGGGAAUAAAGGAGGGACCUUGAUAAAAAUGUUGAGGUAUGCAGGCAGGAAAUGAUGGCAAAAUUCUCCCCACCCCUAUCAAAGAAAAUGGCUUUAGGAAGUUGAGUCUCUACCCCUGUUCCUGUCUCCCCCUUAUAAAUCUACCCCUAAAUCAUCUUCAGGGAAUUGGACCGGUUGCUUUCUCCCUGGCAAUAACAGGGAAUUCCAACUGCAAGCCAAUUAGAAUACACCCAGAGCUGCCAGUAAAAUCUUUCACUGACUUCACUUUAUUGGUUUCAUAAAACAAGAGAAAGAAAUCAGAGAUAGUCCAGAGCCUCACGGAGAUGCAAGUGUCUUUAUGAAGCAGACUGAAGCCUGCCUCCAUGGGCUCCCCAUUCCACAUCCUUCCUCCACCCAGAUGUUUUUAGCUGCUGCCACCUGCCCACGAUCCUGUGGUGUUAGGACACCAGCUCACAGAUCCGAGCUGUAUAGUCCUUACUUCCCUGGAUAUUUGAUCGA
ensembl:lncRNA